rnacentral:misc_RNA from 1 species
GCUCUUUAUGCCAUAAGCACCUUGAGGGGUUGGACAUUUUCAUUUACAGAGGAGAGAAGGCAUUUUGUAGCUCAGAGUGCCGUUUGAAACAAAUCUCAAUCGAUGAACAUAAAGAGAAGUGUGGUUCUUUAGCCAUGAAAUCGCCCGAGUUCUCUGCCUCUCCUCGCUCUGGAACAAUGCAGUUUUCCGGUGGUGUUGCUGUGGCAUAAGUAAGUUGGUGAUACAGGUCUGGGAAGCUAACUCAAUGCAUAAAAAGAUCUUAAUAUGUUCAAUUUUGAGUAAUGGAAUGUUGUUCUGCCUGCCAAAGGUUCUGAAGUUUUGUUAGAACCUAUUAAGAGGGAGAGAGUUUCGUAGUUUGGUUAAACCCGCCGAGAAUAGACAU